rnacentral:rRNA from 1 species
UACGAAGGGGGCUAGCGUUGUUCGGAAUUACUGGGCGUAAAGCGUAUGCAGGCGGAUCGUUAAGUCGGGGGUGAAAUCCCGAGGCUCAACCUCGGAACUGCCUUCGAUACUGGCGACCUUCGAGUCCGGGAGAGGUGAGUGGAACUCCGAGUGUAGAGGUGAAAUUCGUAGAUAUUCGGAAGAACACCAGUGGCGAAGGCGGCUCACUGGACCGGCAUUGACGCUGAGGUGCGAAAGCGUGGGGAGCAAACAGG